UGGGGAAUUUUGGACAAUGGGCGAAAGCCUGAUCCAGCCAUUCCGCGUGAGUGAAGAAGGCCUUCGGGUUGUAAAGCUCUUUCGGCAGGAACGAAAUGGUCACGGUUAAUAACUGUGACUUCUGACGGUACCUGAAGAAGAAGCACCGGCUAACUACGUGCCAGCAGCCGCGGUAAUACGUAGGGUGCGAGCGUUAAUCGGAAUUACUGGGCGUAAAGCGUGCGCAGGCGGUUUUGUAAGUCAGAUGUGAAAGCCCCGGGCUUAACCUGGGAAUGGCGUUUGAAACUACAAGGCUAGAGUGUGUCAGAGGGGGGUAGAAUUCCACGUGUAGCAGUGAAAUGCGUAGAGAUGUGGAGGAAUACCGAUGGCGAAGGCAGCCCCCUGGGAUAACACUGACGCUCAUGCACGAAAGCGUGGGGAGCAAACAGG
rnacentral:rRNA from 1 species